rnacentral:rRNA from 1 species
AAAUAUUAAAGAGCUGCGGUAUCUUGACCGUACAAAGGUAGCAUAAUCAUUAGUUUUUUAAUUGGAAACUUGUAUGAAUGGUUGGACAAAACAAAAACUGUCUCUGCUGUAAAUGUAAAAUUUAACUUUUAAGUGAAAAGGCUUAAAUAAACCAAAGGGACGAUAAGACCCUAUAAGCAUUUGGCUGGGGCGGCAUGGAUAAAAUUGUUAACUUUCCUUAAAAAAAUCACUCAUAUGUGAAAAGAUCCUUAUUAAAGAUUAAAAGAAAAGUUACUUUAGGGAUAACAGCGUUAUUCUUUUUGAGAGCCCAUAUCGAAAAAAGAGAUUACGACCUCGAUGUUGAAUUAAAAUUUCUGUUUAGCGCAGCCGCUUUAAAAGAAGGUCUGUUCGACCUUUAAAAUUUU